UAGGGAAUCUUCGGCAAUGGACGAAAGUCUGACCGAGCAACGCCGCGUGAGUGAAGAAGGUUUUCGGAUCGUAAAACUCUGUUGUUAGAGAAGAACAAGGACGUUAGUAACUGAACGUCCCCUGACGGUAUCUAACCAGAAAGCCACGGCUAACUACGUGCCAGCAGCCGCGGUAAUACGUAGGUGGCAAGCGUUGUCCGGAUUUAUUGGGCGUAAAGCGAGCGCAGGCGGUUUCUUAAGUCUGAUGUGAAAGCCCCCGGCUCAACCGGGGAGGGUCAUUGGAAACUGGGAGACUUGAGUGCAGAAGAGGGGAGUGGAAUUCCAUGUGUAGCGGUGAAAUGCGUAGAUAUAUGGAGGAACACCAGUGGCGAAGGCGGCUCGCUGGUCUGUAACUGACGCUGAGGCUCGAAAGCGUGGGGAGCAAACAGG
rnacentral:rRNA from 1 species